GUGGGAUGACGUCAAGUCUCCAUGGCCCUUAUAGUGGGGCUACACACGUCAUACAAUGGAUGGUACAAAGGGUCGCCAACCCGCGAGGGGGAGCCAAUCCCAUAAAGCCAUUCGUAGUCCGGAUCGCAGUCUGCAACUCGACUGCGUGAAGUCGGAAUCGCUAGUAAUCGUGGAUCAGAAUGUCACGGUGAAUACGUUCCCGGGUCUU
rnacentral:rRNA from 1 species